UACGUAGGGGCCUAGCGUUGUCCGGAAUUAUUGGGCGUAAAGAGCUCGUAGGCGGUCUGUCGCGUCGGAUGUGAAAAUCCAGGGCUCAACCCUGGACCUGCAUUCGAUACGGGCAGACUAGAGUUCGGUAGGGGAGACUGGAAUUCCUGGUGUAGCGGUGAAAUGCGUAGAUAUUAGGAGGAACACCAGUUGCGAAGGCGGCUCUCUGGACUGUAACUGACGCUGAGGCACGAAAGCGUGGGGAGCAAACAGG
rnacentral:rRNA from 1 species